ensembl:miRNA
CUGACAGAUUGGUUGACUGUGUACUCUUUUAUUUUAUUCCUGUAACUGGGCCAGUUUCUGCCCUUAACUAAAACUGGAUCAAUUAUAGGAGUGAAACAAAGGUCCAUCUCC